rnacentral:rRNA from 1 species
CACGCCGUAAACGAUGAGUACUAGGUGUAGGAGGUAUCGACCCCUUCUGUGCCGCAGUUAACACAAUAAGUACUCCGCCUGGGAAGUACGAUCGCAAGAUUAAAACUCAAAGGAAUUGACGGGGGCCCGCACAAGCAGCGGAGCAUGUGGUUUAAUUCGAAGCAACGCGAAGAACCUUACCUGGACUUGACAUCCCCUGAAUAGUGCAGAGAUGCAUGAAGCCCUUCGGGGCAGGGAGACAGGUGG